AUGUAAGAAUUUCAAGGCCACAACUCCAUAUUUGAAGUAAAGUGCUCAUAAAAUUAAUUGCAAGGUUUUGAGAAGCCAUCUGCAGCUCACAACUAGAUGAGUGACACAAUCAGAUAAAAAAGCCUGGAGACAUUGAACUAAGAUCAAAUUUAAUGUAUUAAAUAUGGUAGAAAGAAGAGAGAAUGAAAAAUAAUGUUAACAAUCUAGGUGAGGAAUUGCUGAGGAGACAAAUUAAGUAAAUCCUGUGGAAGGAAAGAAGAAAGGAGGAAAGAGGAUUGGAUGGAAGAAUCUCCACUUCUCAUAGGUGUAGUCCUUCCUUAGCCUGCUUUUUAAUGAGUGCUGCUAAAGCCCUUAGCCUGCCUGUUUACCCUUGGAGUGGAGCAAUGAACUGAAGAUAUUUGAGUGAGUUCAAGAGAGACUCAGAAGAGAAGAAUUGGAGGCAGCAAACAUAGACAGCACUUUUAAUGCUUUUCUCAUAUGCUGUAAGACAUGAAAGCAAUCUAUUGGGAUGAAAGCUGAAAGGAGAAGCGGGACAAGAGAAGUGAAUCCGUGGAAGACCCCCAAAAGAGGCUGCAGAUUCUUAGUGGACAGCUCUCAUAUCCCCUCCAGGGAAAAUGAUGAAAAAUGUCUUCAGAAAAAUAGCUUUAUGAAGGCAAGAGGACUUUUUGCACCUGCAAGACAUGUCUGAAAGCUCCUCAGGUCAAAACACAAGUAGUCAAGAGAUUUGUCCAUCUAAUUCAUCAUACUACUCUGAUCCAAGUGAGACCCACACUGGGUCAGCUCCAUCAAGGAGAAGAACAUUCCACCCACGUUUGGAUUCUGGAAUAUCAUCCUUGCUUCCAUCAGAUUCUUGUAAGUACCUCACUUGGCACAAGGUAGACAUGACGUUCAAGGAAGUCAACUGCGUUGCCCAAGAGUAAGAGAAGGAAUCUCUGAAGAAGAGCAACUUUUCAGACAGGUAGAGUGUGCCUUGCUCCCAAGGAAAAGAGUUCUUGAAAAAAACAAAUGGGAAACAUGGCUACAAGAAAACUGGGAAGACUGCAAGAAAAUCUCAGAAUCUGCUUGAGAAUCCGGUCCUUCUUCCUCCAUACACCCAUGGAACACUCCCAAACUCUGUAUGCUGCUCACUAAUUCUGAUUAAGGUCUUCACCCUCCCUACCUUGGAAAUUGCUACAACAUAAUUGUGUUUAAUUUGAACAUUUCAUUUCAGGGUUUGGGGGAUCCUUACCAAGUUGAAAAUUUUAACAGAAUUCUUAGAAGACUAAUUCGAGUUGAAACCCUCUGUUACCAAGGAUACCUCAGAUACAGCAUUUAUCCUUGGCCGAAAACCACAUUGAGACUCUUACUGGAUUCUCCAGUUUACGGUGCACUCCACUGGAAUCCCUUAUUCUCAAGAGGAACCCUUAGUAUUCUCCUGUUUGCCAAACUUAAAAAUGCUGGAUGGAAUCUUGAAGCUACCAGAAGAUUGCUUAUCACCAGAAACCAAUAUUUUUUCAAAAAUAUGCCUUGUAUCCUAAUGCAGUCUGUAUAGAAAGAAAGCAAUCAUCAUUGUUGCUAAAAGCUAAUAAACACAGGACAUGCAUGAUU
ensembl:lncRNA LRRC77P leucine rich repeat containing 77, pseudogene